rnacentral:rRNA from 1 species
UACGAAGGGGGCUAGCGUUGUUCGGAAUUACUGGGCGUAAAGCGCGCGCAGGUGGUCUUUCAAGUCAGUGGUGAAAGCCCGGAGCUCAACUCCGGAAAUGCCAUUGAAACUGUGAGACUCGAGGACGAGAGAGGUGAGUGGAAUUCCCAGUGUAGAGGUGAAAUUCGUAGAUAUUGGGAAGAACACCGGUGGCGAAGGCGGCUCACUGGCUCGUAUCUGACGCUCAGGCGCGACAGCGUGGGGAGCAAACAGG